CAGCAGCCGCGGUAAUACCAGCAGCCCAAGUGGUGGUCGCGAUUAUUGGGCCUAAAGCGCUCGUAGCCGGGCCGGUAAGUCCCUUGUGAAAUCGGACGGCCUAACCGUUCGGCGUGCAAGGGAUACUGUCGGUCUUGAGGCCGGGAGACGUCCGAGGUACUCCGGGGGUAGCGGUGAAAUGUUCUGAUCCUCGGGGGACCACCGGUGGCGAAGGCGUUCGACGAGAACGGGCCUGACGGUGAGGGGCGAAGGCUAGGGGAGCAAACGGGAUUAGAUACCCCCGUAGUCCCUGUCUCUUAUA
rnacentral:rRNA from 1 species